UUCAAUAUUCCAUUCUUCGCACAAAUUUCCAACUCAUGCCUCCACCAUGGCUUCGGACUUUGGGACUCCAAUCUCACCAAGAGAGAGGACACUGGUAGUAUUUCUUUAGGACCCUUUUAGAGAGAGAGAGAUCCAGCCAGGGCCAGUUGAGUUGGGUUGAGUAGAGUUUUGUGGGUGUUAGUCACUGUUUUGCCACCGAAUUAACCUUUUAAUGGGGCCGUGAAAUCCUUGUGCCUCAAAAACUACAAGUGGGUCAUUGAGGUCCUACUCUCUCCCACUUGUUGGUCUUUGCUGUCUCUGCUGCUCUGCAUCUCUUAACUUUUUUCAAAACUAACCCCUCUUCUCUCUUUUCUAUGUGCUAUCUUCCUCCCUGAGUCCAAACAAAGAUCUAUCUUUUUCACUAUCUGGGUAUUGGUUUAUUCUUGUUCUAGAUUACAAGGAUCAUAGUUUUCUUGAUGGUACUAUUGGCUGUUCUGUGCAUGCAUGCCAGUGGGCUAUGCGUUUGAGUAUAAAUUCUGUUUCUUUGUGUUAUCUUCAAGAAUAAGGUUGUUGUCGUUCUUGUUGUUUUGUGAAAAGGAGGCUGUUAUCUUUCAAUUCAAGCAUCUGGGUGUUCUUGAUAUUGAGAAAGCUGUACUGGGUAUUUCUUGAAGUGAGUAUUGCGGCUCUUGGAUUUGAUGGGUUGAUUUUGGGGUCAGCUGUGGGUGUGAAUCAAAAGGGGCUUUUUGGAUUUGGUUCAACCUUUUAUUUUCUGAGUUGGUAUUUUUUACUGAUUAAGUUUUCAUGCUUGGUCCAAGACAAUGGAGAGGUUUAUGGCCAGAUUUUUAUUUCUUUAGCAUUGAACGAUUCAAGAACUUUGGGAAAUAAUAUGAAGAACUUUCUUAAGAAGCUCCACAUCAUGCCUAGUCAAUCACAUGAUUCAGAGGGUUCAAAUUCAUCAAGGGGCAAUAAGUCCAUUGAUGUAUCUUCCCCUGAUAGGCUUUUGCCCUCUAGGUCCAAUGAGCAUAAAACCUUCUCAGGUAUUUCCAAUUGGUUGAAUUCUGUUGCUAAUAAAAAAAGUCCUAGUCCACCAUCAUCUUCAAAUGUGACUAGAGGAGAGAGGACCGAACCAUCUGAUUCGAUUAGUAGUAGUGGUUUGGAUGUCGUUUCUGAUCCUGCCAGGCGUGAUUCAGGGUCUUCUACGUCAAGGGAUCCUGAAAUUGAGGAGGAAUAUCAAAUUCAGCUGGCUCUGGAGUUGAGUGCUAGAGAGGAUCCUGAGGCAGUUCAGAUUGAGGCUGUUAAGCAAAUAAGUUUGGGCUCUUGUGCUCCGGAAAAUACUCCAGCUGAAGUUGUUGCUUAUAGAUACUGGAAUUACAAUGUUCUUGGCUAUGAUGACAAGAUAUUGGAUGGUUUUUAUGACCUGUAUGGAAUUUUGACCGAGUCCACAUCAGAACGAAUGCCUUCUCUCGUUGAUUUGCAAGGAACACCAAUUAAAGAUGGUGUCAGCUGGGAAGCAGUGCUAGUGAAUAGGGCUGCUGACGCUAACUUGUUGAAACUUGAGCAGAAGGCACUAGAGAUGGCAGUCAAGUCAAAGUCUGAAUCUCUAGUUUUCAUGGAUAGAGAUUUUGUGCGGAAGCUUGCUAUUUUAGUUUCUGAUUACAUGGGUGGAUCAGUCGGCGAUCCUGACAACAUGACAAGAGCAUGGCGGAGUCUUAGCUACAGUUUGAAAGCAACACUUGGUAGCAUGGUUUUGCCCCUUGGUUCUCUUACAAUUGGAUUGGCCCGUCAUCGUGCAUUAAUGUUCAAGGUUUUGGCUGACAGCAUAGGUGUUCCAUGCCGACUGGUAAAAGGUCAUCAAUACACUGGUUCUGAUGAUGUUGCCAUGAAUUUUGUAAAGAUUGAUGAUGGAAGGGAAUACAUUGUUGAUUUAAUGGCAGACCCUGGAACACUUAUUCCUUCUGAUGUUGCUGGAUCACAUGUAGAAUAUGAGUCGUCUUUCUUUUCUGCUAGUCCUUUGUCUCGAGACAUUGACUCAUCUCAUAGAGCUUCUUCUAGUAGUGGGUUAGCUAGUUCUUUUGAAGAACAUUCGGAUGCUGGGACCUUGGAGAAGAGAUCCAGAAUCAGGAAUGUUGCAGCUGCAGGAAAACAAUCUGAUGAGAAGUGUGAAUUUCAUGAAUUUGCAAAUGUGCCCAGUAUAGUUAAAGGUGAAGAAGAAGCCAAGUCGUCCUUAGAUGAUUCUAAGAAACCUUCCAAUGCAGAGAAGGUGAUGGUGCGGGAGAGUCCUGGAAGGCCUAGUUAUACUCAUGCUCAUGCAAGAUCUCCUUCAUGGACUGAAGGUGUUAGCUCUCCAGCUGUACGUAGAAUGAAAGUCAAAGAUGUUUCACAAUACAUGAUUGACGCAGCCAAAGAGAAUCCACAGUUGGCCCAGAAACUUCAUGAUGUGUUACUGGAAAGUGGUGUUGUUGCUCCCCCUAGCUUGUUUACUGAAAUUUAUCAUGAGCAGUUAGAUGGAUCAACUACUGAGGCCAAAUCCCCUAUAGAAAAUAAGGAUGACUACAAACAGAAGAGUGAAGCAUGGCAUAUGAAAGAUCAAGAUGAUCUUGGUCCUGCUCGAUUUUUGCCCCCUCUGCCUCAUUACAGAUUGCAUUCUAAAGCAAGUCCUGCUUUUAACCAACCUGAGCAACUUAAACCUGUGGAAGGUUUAGGGGUCAAUUAUCCUUUUGAUAUGAGAGAGGUCACUGGACAAACCGUAUCUUCGCAGUCUGAAGUAACUCCUGUAAGUUAUGUGCAAAAAGUUCCUGUUGCUGCAGCAGCAGCAGCUGCUGCAGCUGUUGUUGCAUCUUCUAUGGUUGCUGCUGCAGCAAAGUCAAGCACUGACUCAAACCUUCCUGUAGCAGCUGCUGCCACUGCAACUGCUGCAGCUGUUGUGGCAACAACUGCGGCUGUCAGUAAGCAGUAUGAGCAGUGUGCACGAAGUGAUGGAGAUGCAAAUAAUUCUGGUUAUGAGCCAAAAGGUAGUGGGGACCGUGGUAGUGGGGGCCAAGAACGUGAUGCUUUAGGAGAAACUUCAGAAGGCGAAAAAACAUUGAAUAGAUCAGUUGGCAGUGAAAGUUCAAAGUCUGAUGCAGCACUAGAUGAUGUUGCAGAGUGUGAGAUUCCAUGGGAGGAAAUCACCUUGGGUGAACGCAUUGGACUUGGAUCAUACGGGGAGGUAUAUCACGGAGACUGGCAUGGAACUGAAGUGGCUGUGAAGAGGUUCCUGGACCAAGGUAUUUCUGUUGAAUCACUUGAAGAAUUCAGAAGUGAGGUUCGAAUCAUGAAAAGGCUCAGACAUCCCAAUGUGGUUCUUUUCAUGGGAGCAGUAACUCGUGCCCCAAAUCUUUCAAUUGUUACAGAGUUUCUUCCUAGAGGUAGUUUGUAUAGACUAAUCCACAGGCCUAACAAUCAAUUAGAUGAGCGGAGACGUUUGAGGAUGGCCCUUGAUGCUGCUCGAGGAAUGAAUUAUUUGCACAACUGCACUCCAAUGAUAGUACACCGUGAUUUAAAGUCCCCAAAUCUUCUGGUUGAUAAAAACUGGGUAGUGAAGGUUUGUGAUUUUGGGCUAUCGCGAAUGAAGCACAGCACAUUUCUCUCUUCAAGGUCAACUGCAGGGACGGCUGAGUGGAUGGCCCCAGAAGUGCUAAGAAAUGAACCUUCAGAUGAAAAUGAGGAUCAAUAUGCAGGUGUGACGUUUAUAGUUUUGGGGUUAUACUAUGGGAACUCUGUACAUUGCAGCAACCAUGGGGGGGAAUGAACCCAAUGCAAGUUGUUGGUGCUGUUGGAUUUCAACAACGACGUCUUGACAUUCCAGAUAGUAUGGAUCCAGUCAUUGCAGAUAUUAUUAGGAAAUGCUGGCAGACGGACCCGAGAUUGAGGCCAACAUUUGCAGAGAUAAUGGCUGCUUUGAAGCCAUUACAGAAGCCUAUAACUGGUGCACAAGCGCUGAGACCAAGUUCAUCUACGAGAGGUGGACAUGAGAAAGGUCAGCAGUCGCGAGAAGCAGAAUAGCAGGCAGGCUAAUUGAACAAGUUAUGAUGAAGUCGAACUUCAGCUAGUCGGACUGCCAAAAACAUGGAGGCAAAUUAUGGACUGUCUGUGACAAGAAUGCGCAUCGAACUGUGAAAAUAUAGAGGAAUAUAUGGACUGUUUGGGACAAGAAUUUGAAAGAGAUUGAUCGAAGAUCAUGAACCAACAUACGCUCCAAUUUGAGAUGAUUGUGAUUCUUUUUUCAAUGUUUCCCUUUUUCUUCUCUUGUAUUCUUGUGCAGCAAUCCUCAAAGUGUAUUUGUUUGUAGAAAGAAAAUCCAUUUGAAAUUGUUGUAAUCAAUGUUGUGUUUUUUCUUGUGCUUACAGUUUGAUACCAAGCAAAUACAAACUGAAGAAAGCAGUUGGAAAAACUUUUCUUCUAUGAAGAGUGAUGCAGUAGAUUUACUUGCAAGCUUGGCUAGAUCAAAA